rnacentral:rRNA from 1 species
UACGUAGGGCGCAAGCGUUAUCCGGAAUUAUUGGGCGUAAAGAGCUCGUAGGCGGUUUGUCGCGUCUGCCGUGAAAAUCCAGGGCUCAACCCUGGACCUGCAUUCGAUACGGGCAGACUAGAGUUCGGUAGGGGAGACUGGAAUUCCUGGUGUAGCGGUGAAAUGCGCAGAUAUCAGGAGGAACACCGGUGGCGAAGGCGGGUCUCUGGGCCGAAACUGACGCUGAGGAGCGAAAGCGUGGGGAGCGAACAGG